GCUCUGAAACGCUCCUCCCCGUGUGCCGGGGCCUGGCAUGAUGCUGGUUUGUGUUUUCUCCCAGCUUUGCUGCCUUUCUGCGUGGUGCCUCUCACCUCACUCGCUACGAGGUCAUUCGCCAUGAGCAGGAGUACGGCCGUGGCAGCAGCUGCCCUGAGGAGCAGCACUUAGGAGGAGAAAUCCAAGCACAGCAAUCAGGUUUCACUCCCCUGUUGAUGCUUUUUCCUGACUGUUGAGGAGCCCCUGGUUCUCUGCUCUUUCAUCCCUGUAAUUUGUUACAGACUGUUUGUAGUUUUAAUAAAGAUUUGGUUUGGUAGCUCAUGAGACAA